CCCCGGGAAGGGGAGGCGGAGAGAACCCCGCGGCCCCAGUCCGGCGGGAGCAGCGCGGCAAGAAAACCCUGCGUCCCCUCCCCAGCUGGCAGGAGUAGCCCGGGCGGCGUGCGCCCAGCAGCUCCCAGGUUGUGGCAAUUAAGCCCCCUUGAAAACAUCACAGCCUCGCCCUGGGUCCCCAGAGAAGCUGCUAGGACAGAUGUUUGGUUCCCAGAGCAAAAAUAGCGGUUAAAGAACAGAAUGGAUUCUCAACAAUCUGAAGACAUCUGUUUGCUGCAUCCCACCCUGGGGCUUCCCGUGCCUUCAGGAGCAUCAGCAGACCACCCAGGAGCUGUUUCAGUAUGUUUAAAACUGGUUCUCCGCCAGGAUUCACUGAUAGCCUCAGGAUAUUCCUUCAACCUCAACUUCCUGUGCUGAGGCCGGUGAAGGAGGAAAGAAGAAGACCGAAUCCCAGGGUCUCUCACUAAACCCGGAGCUCACCAACUUGAGCAGACUGGCUGGCAACCACACUCCGGGAAUUCUGCUGUCUCCACCUCCCCAGCACUGGGAUUACAGCACUGCACCACCAAAUGUGACCUUCCGUUCUUUUCCUUCUGAGAUCUCGCUGUACAACCCUGGUGGGUCUGGAGCUCCUAUGUAGACCAGGCUGGCCUCAAACUCAUGAAGAUCCACCCCCACCCCACCCCAUGCUACCUCUGCCUUCUGAGUGCUGGGAUUAAAGGUGUUCAACUCCAUGCUCUAUUCUGAACCCAAAGUGAGUUCAGAACCCUAACUUAGGCCCUCAGACCUACCAGCCAUCCCCCAGAGCCUGCUCCUUUAUUCGUCAUGUAUGUGACAGGUCUUACCAUACAGUGAACUCUGAAUCCUCCUGCCUCAGCCUCCUCCUGGAGUGCUGGAUAAUAGAUGUGAAUAUAUAUAUAUAUAUAUAUAUAUAUAGUUUUUUAGGUUUUUUUUUUUUUUUUUUUGGCUGGUUGGGGGUUGGUUGAGGUUUGUUGUUUUGAGACAGAAUAUCACCACGUAGCUCUGGCUGGCCAGAACUCACUAUGUAGAGAAUGCUGGCCUUGGCCUUGAGCUGCUUUCUUCCUUUAAAAAAAAAAGAGAGAGAGAGAGAGAGAGAGAGACUUUUAAAUUUUCUGUGUAUGAGGGCUGGAGAGAUGACUCAGCAGACUCAGCAGUCAAGAGCACUCACUGCUCUUCCAGAGAAGCCAGGUUCAAUUCCCAGCACCCACAUGGCAGCUAGCAACACCUACAACUCCGGGAUCUGAUGCCCUCACACAGACACAUGCGCAGGCAAAACACUAGUGCACAUAAAAUAAAAAUAAAUUAUGUUUUAAAUUUAUGUGUGUGAGUGUUUUACUCACAUGUAUGUCUGUGUAUCGUGUACAUCCUAGAAGUGGAGUUAUGGACAGUAAUGAGCUGCCGUGUAAGUGUUGGGAAUCAAAUGCAGGUCCUCUGCAAGAACACCCAUGCCGGGCAGUGGUGGUGCACACUUUUAAUCCCAGCACUUGGGAGGGAGAGGCAGACAGAUCUCAGUGAGCUUGAGGCCAGCCUGAUCUACAAAGCAGGUUCCAGGACAGCCAGGGCUUGUUACACAAAGAAACCCUGUCUCGAAAAACCAACAAAAAUUCAAGGACAACUUUGGCUACCUAGUAAGUUCAGGGCUAGCACAAAACAUUGUUUUAACAUACAAAAAACUAAAUAAUAGUAAAAUAUAAGCAGCUAGAACAUUAGGGUGACUAUAAGAACGUCUCUGUGUUAAAAACUCAUAGGUCUCUCUCAUUCUGGUGUCUGGUUCUUCUAAAUGGGUGGAUACUGAGGGCGACAGAGAAGUCGAAAGAGGAAAUCUGAAACCGCCCACUCUUUACGGCGGAGAGUGGGGGGUGACUAGCCUGUCCCUGGAACCCUAUCAGCAUUCUCUUUCACAUCACAGCUCUGGAAUGAGGAGACCCAGUGGGAAAGCACCGUCCAGACGUAGGCUAACCCCGCCAUCUGCCGGUGGCAGGAGCCUGAGGGCUUCUUGGACCAUUGGGAGCUAAGUAGGAUCUCAGGUUCACCACUGAGCGGCGCACUUGGGUUACGUUUUUUGCUGUUCCAUCCAUCAACCCAUGCGCUGCAGGCUGGGAAUGUCUCAGGUGGCCACACUUCUCCUGGUCCUUCAGUUCCUUCAUCCUCUGGAGGCCGACUUGACCGUGACAGAAGAGGUGGUGAUGAAGUCCCAGGACCCCACCAGGCACCGUUUUCAUGAAAACCCUGGAAACAGGUGCUGCACACGGCCCUGUCUUCUCUUACCAGAGAAGAGGAACUGUCCUUGGCUUGGGGGCCAAUUUCGAUUUUCUUCACCGUUCUCCAGAAGGAGGCACCAAGGCUGGUCCUGUAUUUCCCUGCUGUACUUCUUGACGUAUUUCGUCAUGUCACUGGGACCCAAGAGCAAACCUGUGACAUACAUCUUUUUCUGAGUCUGGCUUAUUCCAGGUAACAGGAUAAUCUCCAGUCUGUUCUACUUCCUCUCCGGUUCCAUUGCAUUGCCUGCAAAGGACAGAAUUUUGUUCUUUAUGGCUGAAAAAUGUUCAUUGAGGGGCUGGCAAGACGUCUCAGCAGUGAGGUGCUGUAUUCAUUCUUUAGUGGACACUGCGACUGGUUCCAUACCUCGUAUUUUGAGUUCUAUAUAAACAUGGACACACAGGUGUCUCUGUAGCACGUUGACAUAAAUUCCUUUAGGUAAUAGGGGUUAUUACUAAUAAUUUUAGCUUUUGAAAAUAUUAGUUCACCAGAUAGUUUUUCAGGUUCUGGCGCUUGAAGUCAGCACUGACAACUUUAAUUCCGUCUCCAGAACCCACACGGUAGAGGGAGAGAACCAGAGAACCGACUUCUGCGAGUCUCCUCUGACAUAGGCACUGAUGCCGCGACAUGUUCGUGGCCACACAAGUACAUACACACAAAAUAAGUCAAUAAAUAAGUAAAUACAUAGCUUUAAAAAAUUAUUGCCAGACGGUGGUGGUGCAUACCUUUAAUCCCAGCCCUCGGGAGGUAGAGGCAGGUGGAGCUCUGUGAGUUUGAGGCGAGUGUGGUCUACAGAGAGAGUUCCAGGACAGGCUCCAAAGCUACACAGAGAAACACUGUC